rnacentral:rRNA from 1 species
AUUGAACGCUGGCGGAAUGCUUUACACAUGCAAGUCGAACGGCAGCACGGACUUCGGUCUGGUGGCGAGUGGCGAACGGGUGAGUAAUGUAUCGGAACGUGCCCAGUCGUGGGGGAUAACGUAGUGAAAAUUACGCUAAUACCGCAUACGAUCCAUGGAUGAAAGCGGGGGAUCGCAAGACCCCGCCGGAUUGGAGCGGCCGAGAUCAGAUUAGGUAGUUGGUGGGGUAAAGGACCACCAAGCCAACGAUCUGUAGCUGGUCAGAGAGGACGACCAGCCACACUGGAACUGAGACACGGUCCAGACUCCUACGGGAGGCAGCAGUGGGGAAUUUUGGACAAUGGGCGAAAGCCUGAUCCAGCCAUUCCGCGUGCAGGAUGAAGGCCCUCGGGUUGUAAACUGCUUUUGUACAGAACGAAAAGGUUUCUACUAAUACUAGGAGCUCAUGACGGUACUGUAAGAAUAAGCACCGGCUAACUACGUGCCAGCCGCCGCCGUAA